CGGGAGUGUACUUGUUUGCAGGGGUUGGUUCUCGGCAGCAGCCGCGAGGUUACUUGGUCCAGUGGGCAGGUCACAGGGCAAGGAGUAGGGAAGAUGCGAUGCAUUUUUUUCUGGAGGGUGAUCUGUGUUUGUAAACAUUUUGGCGGACCAGAGGGAAGUCCGGCCCCGAGUGCUGGUAGACUGUGGAAUUCGGCUGUGUCCUGAGGCCACCCUAGAGACCCCGCGCCGCAGACCUGGCAAGGUGCGGAGCCCUCCAGAAGUGCGGUCAAGCGGCAGCGGAGACGGCGAGCCAGGAACCUCCCCCCGCGUCCCCAGCUUCCCAGCGUGGCGGCGGAACCCCCGGAGAAAGUUUGCAAACUUCCAGCGGGCGCGGCGAGGACGCCGGGUCACCUAGGGGGCGGGUGGGCGCGCGCGCAGGGGGCUCGCUCUCCCCGGUGCGGAGCUGCAGCUGCCACCUCUCCCGCCGGGCUGCCGGCUGCAGCGGGUGGGCGCGCGCCCGGGGAGGGGAGGUCGCCCUCGGAGGGCGCUUGGCUUUCGCUCCAGGCGCUCCGGGCUGGAGAGCGGCGAGGCUCCGUCCGCUCCAGUCCACUCCUCCGGCCGCCUCCUGCCUCCGCUGCUUUCUUGCUGGCAUCGUUACCUCUUCCCGGCCGCUGCCCCAAAUGACAGCUCCGGCUCGAGCUUUGGCGGCGCCCAGGCAAUUCCCAAGACCUGGCGGCGGAGUCUCCCCCUGCGGCAGAUUCUCGGCAGAAUCACUUGAACUUUUCACGAAGUUCUUAGAGGGGCAAGAUGCGAAGGAAGGAACCAAGGAGAUGUUUUCUCUCAGCAGCUGCAUCCCGCUUCUUCUUUGCCAUAGAUUUAUUUUUAAGGGGCGUCUGGUAGAUAAAGCCCUAGACCUUGUCCACACUCUCACCCCCAUCCCCAACUUUCCCUGGACCGGUGCCGCCCCCACUUGAUGCUUGCUCAAGGCCGGGGACUGGAGCGGGCUACUUGUAUAUUUCGUUGUCAGUCUGCAGAAUGUGUUUGAUUUUUAUUUUUCCCUCCUUCUCUGACAUGUGUCAAGGAAUAAAGACUGGAUACAGGUCCAUUACGUCAUUCUGCAGGCCAGUAAGUGUUUGAUUAACGGCUUGAGCUCCUCAAGGGUUCAGGAGCUUAGAAUGCUGACAAAGCAACUCUGCUUUGCAUCCCCCUACCCUCCCCACAACACACUCGUGCAAUCGCCGGCUCCCUGGGCAUCUUUAUUGCCCUCUCUUCCCAGCCCCUCCCUCUCCACCACUCCCCCGUCUACACCGUUAUCACUCUAGCCCCGCCCCCGCCUUUUUACAGCUUUCCCUGGGGCGAGCACGGUCCCUGGAGUGUGGGUAAAAGCUUCUGGGGUCUGAGGGGACCACUGUACCUGAUCAGCGCGCAAUCCGCCCUUUUGUAUUAUUUAAGAAAGGCACCAGUAAGCCUUCUCCUCUAGGGCGAAAAUGCUUAGUCCUGAUAGAAAAGGCAAAUCAGGAAAUGUUUGCAAGCGUUAUGAUAAUACUCUGUCCUCGUGGUGGUGACUUAGGAAAGCAAUACACCCACUGCAAACAAAGUAUUUCACUUUACGUAGUGCCUGCCCUUUAGCAGAAGAGGGAUGCUGACAAAAUCAGGUUUAGCUGAAAGGAUCAAGACUAAACGUUUCAUUUCCAAAGUGAGGGAAUGUGAGUCGUUGAACCUAAACUUCCAUACAAUAAAUUGCUGCGUGCGUUAGUUUCUAGCUCUUAACCUUAAGUUUCUAUGUUGAAAGAGGAAGUCGAAUACGUAAGUCAUUGAACUGAGUCAGAACCUCCGUAUCUGGCAGUUGAAAUAAAGACCCUGUGUAUGACUUGUUGCAAGGGAUCAAAGUAAAAAGAACCCUCGGUGUGGGGGGUGGGGGGGUGGGGGCGUGAGGGAGGUGUGCAGCAGAAAUUAAAUUUAAAAAAGUAUUAACAGAGUUUUGGAUAGAGGGAGAGAGGGGAUUGGAGUGGUCCCUGAUUUGGAGUUGGUGAAAACUAAAUAAAGAAAAGUUUAUAUUGCAAAUAUGUGGGAAUUUCUUGAAGAACACAUGUUUUCUUAUAAUUAGAUCUACUUUCUUCAAAGCGAAAGCCAUGCUGUAGGGUAGGCAUUUGUGAAACUCCUGUCUGGGGUCUAAUUGACAUCCUUCCCCAAGUCUGUGGCAGGAUUUAGUAUUUAUUCACAUCUAGAGAUGAAAUAGUGUAACCUCCACACAAUAUAUGUGCAUCGAAAAUGUUGAACUUCUUGUUUGUGAUGCAUAGACUUAAAGGAAAAAAAAUGGCCCAGUCAUGGGCACUGGAAAGUGUGAUUAAUGAUCAGUGAUUUAGUGAUCAGUGAUUAGUGGUUUUAUUCAAAC
rnacentral:lncRNA from 10 species